rnacentral:rRNA from 1 species
GACGUAGGGCGCAAGCGUUGUCCGGAUUUAUUGGGCGUAAAGAGCUCGUAGGCGGCUUGUUGCGUCGACCGUGAAAACCCGCGGCUCAACUGCGGGCUUGCGGUCGAUACGGGCAGGCUGGAGUUCGGUAGGGGAGACUGGAAUUCCUGGUGUGAGCGGUGAAAUGCGCAGAUAUCAGGAGGAACACCGGUGGCGAAGGCGGGUCUCUGGGCCGAUACUGACGCUGAGGAGCGAAAGCAUGGGGAGCGAACAGG